rnacentral:rRNA from 1 species
GGAAAGUUUCGCGAAACAGGGUGAUAGCCCCGUACACGAAACGGUUAGUUGGACAUAUUAAGUAGGGCGGGGCACGUGAAACCUUGUCUGAAGAUCGGGGGACCAUCCUCGAAGGCUAAAUACUCGUUAUCGACCGAUAGUGAACCAGUACCGUGAGGGAAAGGCGAAAAGAACCCCGGAGAGGGGAGUGAAAUAGAACCUGAAACCGGAUGCGUACAAGCAGUGGGAGCUCUUCGGAGUGACUGCGUACCUUUUGUAUAAUGGGUCAGCGACUUAUAUUCUGUAGCAAGGUUAACCGAAUAGGGGAGCCGUAGGGAAACCGAGUCUUAAUAGGGCGUCUAGUUGCAGGGUAUAGACCCGAAACCGAGUGAUCUAUCCAUGAGCAGGUUGAAAGUGACGUAACAGUUACCGGAGGACCGAACCCACUGUCUUUGAAAAGCCAGGGGAUGACUUGUGGAUAGGGGUGAAAGGCUAAUCAAACUCGGUGAUAGCUGGUUCUCCCCGAAAGCUAUUUAGGUAGCGCCUCGGACGAACACCAUUGGGGGUAGAGCACUGUUUCGGCUAGGGGGUCAUCUCGACUUACCAAACCGAUGCAAACUCCGAAUACCAACAAGUGCAAUCACGGGAGACACACGGCGGGUGCUAACGUCCGUCGUGGAAAGGGAAACAACCCAGACCGCCAGCUAAGGCCCCAAAUUCCUAGUUAAGUGGGAAACGAUGUGGGAAGGCACAGACAGCUAGGAGGUUGGCUUAGAAGCAGCCAUCCUUUAAAGAAAGCGUAACAGCUCACUGGUCAAGCGUUCCUGCGCGGAAAAUGUAACGGGGCUUAAGUGAUACACCGAAGCUGCGGACUCGAAAGAGUGGUAGCGGAGCGUUCUGUAAGUCUGUGAAGGUGGCCUGCGAGGGCUGCUGGAGAUAUCAGAAGUGAGAAUGCUGACAUGAGUAGCGAUAAAGAGGGUGAGAGGCCCUCUCGCCGAAAGUCCAAGGGUUCCUGCGCAAUGCUAAUCAGCGCAGGGUAAGCCGGCCCCUAAGGCGAGGCCGAAAGGCGUAGUCGAUGGGAACCAGGUUAAUAUUCCUGGGCCAGCGGGUAGUGACGGAUUGCGGACGUUGUGCACUCUUACUGGAUUGAGUGUGCAGCCAAGCCGUCCCUGGAAAUAGCUCCCGCAUGAGACCGUACCCCAAACCGACACAGGUGGACUGGUAGAGCAUACCAAGGCGCUUGAGAGAACUCUGUUGAAGGAACUCGGCAAAUUACUCCCGUAAGUUCGCGAGAAGGGAGCCUGGCAUUAGGCAACUGGUGUCCAGGGGCACAGACCAGGGGGUGGCGACUGUUUAUUAAAAACACAGGGCUCUGCGAAGUCGCAAGACGACGUAUAGGGUCUGACGCCUGCCCGGUGCCGGAAGGUUAAAAGGAGGGGUGAGAGCUCCGAAUUGAAGCCCCGGUAAACGGCGGCCGUAACUAUAACGGUCCUAAGGUAGCGAAAUUCCUUG